GCUUGCUUCUUUGCUGACGAGUGGCGGACGGGUGAGUAAUGUCUGGGAAACUGCCUGAUGGAGGGGGAUAACUACUGGAAACGGUAGCUAAUACCGCAUAACGUCGCAAGACCAAAGAGGGGGACCUUCGGGCCUCUUGCCAUCGGAUGUGCCCAGAUGGGAUUAGCUAGUAGGUGGGGUAACGGCUCACCUAGGCGACGAUCCCUAGCUGGUCUGAGAGGAUGACCAGCCACACUGGAACUGAGACACGGUCCAGACUCCUACGGGAGGCAGCAGUGGGGAAUAUUGCACAAUGGGCGCAAGCCUGAUGCAGCCAUGCCGCGUGUAUGAAGAAGGCCUUCGGGUUGUAAAGUACUUUCAGCGGGGAGGAAGGGAGUAAAGUUAAUACCUUUGCUCAUUGACGUUACCCGCAGAAGAAGCACCGGCUAACUCCGUGCCAGCAGCCGCGGUAAUACGGAGGGUGCAAGCGUUAAUCGGAAUUACUGGGCGUAAAGCGCACGCAGGCGGUUUGUUAAGUCAGAUGUGAAAUCCCCGGGCUCAACCUGGGAACUGCAUCUGAUACUGGCAAGCUUGAGUCUCGUAGAGGGGGGUAGAAUUCCAGGUGUAGCGGUGAAAUGCGUAGAGAUCUGGAGGAAUACCGGUGGCGAAGGCGGCCCCCUGGACGAAGACUGACGCUCA
rnacentral:rRNA from 1 species